UGAGGUGUCGCCAAGUGGUAAGGCAGCGGACUUUGACUCCGCCAGACGUAGGUUCAAAUCCUUCCACCUCAG
rnacentral:tRNA from 1 species